GACGAACGCUGGCGGCGUGCUUAACACAUGCAAGUCGAACGGAAAGGCCCUGCUUUUGUGGGGUGCUCGAGUGGCGAACGGGUGAGUAACACGUGAGUAACCUGCCCUUGACUUUGGGAUAACUUCAGGAAACUGGGGCUAAUACCGUAUAGGAGCUCCUGCUGCAGGGUGGGGGUGGGAAAGUUUCGGCGGUUGGGGAUGGACUCGCGGAUUAUCAGCUUGUUGGUGGGGUAGUGGCUUACCAAGGCUUGGACGGGUAGCCGGCCUGAGAGGGUGACCGGCCACAUUGGGACUGAGGUACGGCCCAGACUCCAACGGGAGGCAGCAGUGGGGAAUAUUGCACAAUGGGCGGAAGCCUGAUGCAGCAACGCCGCGUGCGGGAUGACGGCCUUCGGGUUGUAAACCGCUUUCGCCUGUGACGACGCGUGAGUGACGGUAAUGGGUAAAGAAGCACCGGCUAACUACGUG
rnacentral:rRNA from 1 species